GAAAAAGUCUUCAGUGCAGCAGAAGAUGCAGCUGGUUUUCUUCACACGCAUCAGGAGCUUCAGAUUUCCGAGAUCCGCUUUGAAAGUGAUGAUGAGCUUCAGCUGUAAUCACAGGCUGCUGUCCUCUGACUUCUGACAAAAGAAAGCCCCCAUGAGGACUUGAUUGCAAAUGGGAGAGAUUCAUAAGCGGCACGCCACAGCGUCCAAACCGAAGCUCAGAGAGCGAAUCUCCAAACCGCCGCGUCCAGAAGUCCACGGAAACCUGCAGAGCUGGACCAUUCCCGGCUGAAAACUCCAGACCGGAGCUUUUUAAGCCAUCAAGGCUCCAGUGGAUCUCAUUCAGUUCAGCAGUGGUUCAGGAGGCUCUACACGAACACGUCCACGUUACAGACUUUCGGUUGACCUCCAACCAACCCAUCUCCAGCUGAGGAACUCGACAAGAUCAAUCCUGCAGCUUCCUGAUUCAUCUCAGAGACGCCCGAUCCUGAGAGUCAGAGGACAAACCCAGAAGGAUGUCACUCUCAGAUGGAGUAAAACGCCUGCUGAUCCCACCGCAGCAGUGUUUCCUCUUCCUGUGCGUGUUUGACAAAGAGUCUCCUUGUGUUCUCACUGAAGGAACAAAGACGUAUGGCUCUGCCUCCUGAAGAGGCUUAGAAGAUUCAUCUGUCAGGUCUGAGCUGGAGUUUUAAAAAAAACUUUGUGCAUUUUCUGAGUCUUUCGGUUUAAAAAUGUUGGAGGAGAAUCCUCACAAUCUCCAUCAGGCUAAUGAAGGAGAGAAACAUUUUUUAAAAAAGCUCUUAAACUUAAAGUGUGAAUCUGAAGCUCCAUCAGCUUCAUGAAGCUUCAAAGCUGCUGUCAGCUUCUGCUAGAAAGCAGAUUAAAACACGGUGAUCAGAUUAACAUUAAUUUGAAUGUGAUGGAUAAUCGGAGUUUACAUCUGUUUACUCUGACCCCCCAAUCAUCUCUGUUGUUGUGUUUUUACACCGGUUCCACGCGCUUUGGCUUUGCGUGAUUCAGAGGAAGAGGUGGGGGUGAGAUGGGGGGGGGGUCUCUGCUGUCCCCCGCGUGACCCCGGCAUCCCUGUGAAGCGCGCUCUUGUUCCCAAGUAAAGACGGCGCGUGCGUCCCGACCUUAAACGGCACGAACCCCUUGAACCCUGAUGGCGCGCGCCGUGACAGAAGCUGCGCGUCAGGUGUGAGAAAGCCAGACUGUCACGUGACUUACCUUCCAC